rnacentral:rRNA from 1 species
GCGAGUGAAGAGGGACAAGCUCAAAUUUUAAAUCCGUCGGGUUUCACCUGACCGAGUUGUAAUUUGAAGAGGCGUUUUCCGCGUUUUUGAUCAGUCCAAGUCCUUUGGGAUAGGGCAUCAUGGAGGGUGAGAAUCCCGUUCGGCUGAUCAGAUUCGCUUUACGAUACGUCAUCUAAGAGUCAAGUUGUUUGGGAAUGCAGCUUAAAAUGGGAGGUAAAUUUCUCCUAAGGCUAAAUAACGGCGAGAGACCGAUAGCGAACAAGUACCGUGAGGGAAAGAUGAAAAGAACUUUGAAAAGAGAAUUAAACAGUACGUGAAAUUGUUGAAAGGGAAACGAUUGAAGCCAGUCGUACCGGUGGGUAAUCAGCCUUUCGUCGUGAUUAUGUGGAGCGUGAGGAGUUAAACGCCCUCAUGCCUGCAUAUUCGUGUUCUUUGGGUGUACUUACCCGCAUGGUAGGUUAACAUCAAUUUCGAACGUCAUAAAAUGGUUGGAGGAAUGUAGCUUCGAUCUCGUAUUGAAGUGUUAUAGCCUUCGGCAGAUGUGAUGAUCGGGAUUGAGGAUUGCAACGGAUACCCUCCGGCUACCCGUCUGAUCUCUGAAAGUUGCUCUGGUGCCGAAAGCUCGCUUACGGUCAUCAAAGUUGACGUUCAACAGGUUAGAACGGGAUAAAUUCGUUAAGGAUGU